CUGUCCAGGAUUUUGUGCAGUUUGGCAAGUACUUUCUUUUGCCAUGUAGCUCCAUGUGCUUUCCCAGCCAGCUGGUUCUCUCUCUGGAGUUGUAGUGAUCAUCAUUUGUGAUUAAAACAACAUGAAGAUCUCCACUAUGGAAAUGUCACUGAGCAAACCUUACAGCUUCCUCUGAAACCUGCUUUGGAUAGUCAGAGAACACUAUACUGA
rnacentral:lncRNA from 1 species